CCCGCUGAACUUAAGCAUAUCAAUAAGCGGAGGAAAAGAAACUAACAAGGAUUCCCCUAGUAACUGCGAGUGAAGCGGGAAAAGCUCAAAUUUAAAAUCUGGCGGUCUCGCGGCUGUCCGAGUUGUAAUCUGGAGAAGUGUUUUCCACAUCGGACCGUGUACAAGUCUUCUGGAACGGAGCGUUGUAGAGGGUGAGAAUCCCAUCUCUGACACGGACAGCCGAUGCUUCAUGUGAUACGCUCUUGAAGAGUCGAGUUGUUUGGGAAUGCAGCUCAAAAUGGGUGGUAAAUUCCAUCUAAAGCUAAAUAUUGGCGAGAGACCGAUAGCGAACAAGUACCAUGAGGGAAAGAUGAAAAGCACUUUGGAAAGAGAGUUAAACAGUACAUGAAAUUGUUGAAAGGGAAAUGUUUGAAGUCAGUCGCGUCGGCCGAGACUCAACCCCGCCUUUUGGCAGGGCGCAAUUCUCGGUCGACGGGUCAGCAUCAAUUUCGAUCGUCGGAUAAAGGUCGAGGGAAUGUGGCAUCCUCCGGGGUGUGUUAUAGCCCUCAGUUCCACAUGCAACGGUCGGGAUUGAGGAACUCGGCAUGCCUUCAUUGGUCGGGGCUUCGGCUCACGUUAACGUGUCUAGGAUGCUGGCGUAAUGGCUUUAAGCGACCCGUCUUGAAACACGG
rnacentral:rRNA from 1 species